GCGAACAGACGAGGAGCUUGCUCCUCUGACGUUAGCGGCGGACGGGUGAGUAACACGUGGAUAACCUACCUAUAAGACUGGGAUAACUUCGGGAAACCGGAGCUAAUACCGGAUAAUAUAUUGAACCGCAUGGUUCAAUAGUGAAAGACGGUUUUGCUGUCACUUAUAGAUGGAUCCGCGCCGCAUUAGCUAGUUGGUAAGGUAACGGCUUACCAAGGCAACGAUGCGUAGCCGACCUGAGAGGGUGAUCGGCCACACUGGAACUGAGACACGGUCCAGACUCCUACGGGAGGCAGCAGUAGGGAAUCUUCCGCAAUGGGCGAAAGCCUGACGGAGCAACGCCGCGUGAGUGAUGAAGGUCUUCGGAUCGUAAAACUCUGUUAUUAGGGAAGAACAAAUGUGUAAGUAACUAUGCACGUCUUGACGGUACCUAAUCAGAAAGCCACGGCUAACUACGUGCCAGCAGCCGCGGUAAUACGUAGGUGGCAAGCGUUAUCCGGAAUUAUUGGGCGUAAAGCGCGCGUAGGCGGUUUUUUAAGUCUGAUGUGAAAGCCCACGGCUCAACCGUGGAGGGUCAUUGGAAACUGGAAAACUUGAGUGCAGAAGAGGAAAGUGGAAUUCCAUGUGUAGCGGUGAAAUGCGCAGAGAUAUGGAGGAACACCAGUGGCGAAGGCGACUUUCUGGUCUGUAACUGACGCUGAUGUGCGAAAGCGUGGGGAUCAAACAGGAUUAGAUACCCUGGUAGUCCACGCCGUAAACGAUGAGUGCUAAGUGUUAGGGGGUUUCCGCCCCUUAGUGCUGCAGCUAACGCAUUAAGCACUCCGCCUGGGGAGUACGACCGCAAGGUUGAAACUCAAAGGA
rnacentral:rRNA from 1 species